rnacentral:sRNA from 1 species
CAGAGAGGACUUAGGGUGGCAGCAGCUGCUUACAUCCUGCCACCUGCACCUGGGGUUGGCAGCUGAUGACGUAAGCAAUGCUAGAUCACUGAGGGCAGGCCAGCAAAAUCGCCUGUAUGUUAACACUCUUUAUUUUUAGGUUGAAAAUGUAAAAUGUUUUCUUAUAGCUCUGGAAACUUGCAGUACAUAUUGUUAGCUAUGGUCACUCUGCUGAGGAACAGAGCAACUCAGAAACCACACUUUUCCUGUUAGCUAUGGUCACUCCACUGAGGAACAGACUUGGAAGCCACACUUUCAGUGUAGCAAAGUAGCACUGAGAGGCCCUUUGUCUUCAGCGGGCUCCUAUCUACAAAAAGCAACGUUUAACAGAAAGAAUGUUACUCCAAGAAUCUCCCAGUCUACACAUCUUUCAUUGGCAAAACAUAAAGGCUUGUUAAAUAUAUACCUUGUAACAUUUCCGAUCUAGUUAUCUUGUGUGUCUGGAAUAAGUUUCACUAAAUUAAUGUAAAGGCCUGUAAGGACUUUAUUCAGGACACAUGCCUGUUUCUUGAUUUAAACAUGUAGCUGUUCUGUCUGUGGUUCUAGUUAGUAUAGUCACUGAAUGUCCCUUCUCCCCAGGGGCUCUCACACUCCAUACAACCCCGAGGUCAUCUCAAAAUGUCCAUCUUCCCCCACUGUCAGCCAGAUCUGGCUGGUUUAGGAGGAGCUUCAGGCUCUGAAGGCUGGGAGGGAACUCAGCAGGGUGUGGCCAGGCAGGGUUCCUAGGUGGAGUUGACUAGUUGCAGGAGGAGGGGACACUUCAACAGCCACCCUGACACCACAGCCCAGGGAUUACUUACUUGCUUGUCUCCAGCAGCCACACCAGCACCAUGAAGAGGCUGCUGUGCUCUCUGCUGGGGCUUCUGUGCAUCCAGGUUUGCUGGUAAAAGGGCAGCAAGUGCAGCAGAGUCCUGCGUCCUUGGUUCUGCAGGAGGGAGAGAACGCAGAGCUGCAGUGCAACUUUUCCACCUCCACAAACCAAACGCAGUGGUUUUACCAGAGUCCUGGGGGAAGCCUCGUCAGCCUCUUCUUCAAUCCCGGAAUGAAGCGUGCUUCUCCCAGGGAAAUGAAGAUCAGUAAAGAUGCAAGACCAACAAGCGUUUAGCUGUGCAAGCCAGCCAAGCUCAGUAUCCUCCACUGUCCAUUGAGUUCUAUUAAUAGUCUCUUCAACCAUCACAUGUCCUCCAUGAGUCAAUCUUGCAUCUGUCUAAGCUCACAUCAUGAUGCCUAUCAGCCCGAAUCUGUGGAAGCCGUAAGAAACUGCAACACAUCACCAGACGUUUUGAGUACAUUUCUCUCUGUGGAGUCCUGACAAAUUGAGCUCAGCUACGCAAUGUAAGGUGAACCAAUACAUGCCUACCAUUAACAAAGAAUCCUUCACCACGUGUCCCUUCACACGCUUGCUUUAGCAGAACAUCCUUUCUCCUGUGUCUGCUUCAACAAAACAUUCCUUCACAACUGUCCACUUCAGCUAAACGUUCCUUUAUGUGUUUGCCUCAGCAAAACACCAUCCAACUUAUUUUCCAAAGAACCUGUAAGUAUCCACUUCACGAAUCUCCGGCAUCCAUGUACAAGCUGCUCAUGUGGUACACGCCUGGAACCAGUAAGGGGAGGAAAGGGUAGGUGCAGGCAUAUCUCAAAGGCUUGCUGGACGGCCAAGCAAGCCAAAAUGGCAGACUCCAAGUUCAGUGAGAAACCCUGUGUGAAAAGGCAAGGUGAAAAGGAACCACAGGAAACAUCCAAUGCUGACCUCUGGCCUCCAUAUGUACACAGAGAUAGGCACAGGCACACAUGCAAACACACAGGGUGGUGGGGAAUUGCCCAACACCAGCCUACCAGCCUCUUCCUCUGCUGCUUGGCUGUCAUGAGAUGAGCAGGUCUUCUGCCUUGUGUCCUUGACACGUUGCACUGUCUUACCCAAGACCAACAGCAAUAAGACUAAUCAGUCAUAGACCCAAGCUUCUUAAACUAUGAACCAAAAUAAGCUUGCUCUAUUAGAGGUUGAUUGUCUGAGGUGUCUUGAGGUAACUUGCUAGGGUGACUGUCACAGAAAGAUGCACAGAGUUCAUGAUGCCAAAACCCUGUUUGAUUUUGUGUUUCUUCCUCCCAUUCAAAUACAAAUCCAUUGAAACAAGUUCAUGUAUAAGGGGAUCAGUAAUUUGUAAAUUUAUCAGUAAAUAAAACAUCACCUUUCUCAAAAAUCUUUGUCCCUUUCUAAAGCCCUUGUGUAUAUUCCCAAAGCACUGAUAGACGGUAGCCAUAUUGGGAAGGAAGACCUAUGAAGUGUCUUUACCAGAUAGACCUGAAUAACAGGCAGAACUUCUUGAAGCUGAUCCUCCUGCCCCCUUGAAAUGUUUUCUGAAGAUUUAGGUGUAGGUUUGGGCAUGGACUGCUAAGGCUGGAGAGCAAAACUCUGUUGUGGGAUUGAGCCUGGCAGAGGUGUGGAGGAGUUUUCAUUGGCACAAACAUAUACUGAAGUAUACGAACUCACUAGUGUGGUUAAUAAAGUGAAUAAAAGGAGCUUAGUUCAAUGAAUGAACUCUUCCCCAAACAUUUCCAUAUAUGUUCAAUUAUGCUGUGGACAGCUGCAUUUAUAAAUCAGUGAUAAAAUACAAAGUUGUACGGACUCACUGAAAAUCACUGGCAGACCUCUAUAAUUGUACUCAAAGACAGUCACACGGAGACA